AUCUUCUUACUGUCUUUCAUCAAAUCAUAGAAAGCAUCCUGUAGCUCAUCGAAUAUAAAUUCUAAAAAAGAUUUUGAAUUUACCUCAUCCUCUUGUGCCAUGAAGCACAAGUUGGCUUCAUUUUGGAUCUUCUCAUCUGAACUCGACUCAUCACUGUCGCUCCAUGUCGUGACCAUUGCCUUCUUCUUGCUCCUUUUAAAGGUCUUCUUCAAUGUUGGAUAGUUGGCCUUGAAGUGAUCUGAUCUUUUGCACUCAUAGCACAAGGAUGGCUCCUUUUCCUUUUCUUUUUCUUUUUUCUGCUUGGCUCACCUUUGGAUAGAUUUUUCUUCCUAAAGCUUUGCCUUCUCCUUCCAAUGAACUUCCUAAACUUCCUGAUCAUCAGGCCAUAUCCUCAUCAUCUUCAUCUUCGAUGGAUUGCCCUUCAUCUUCUUUAGCUGCAGUGGACUUUAAAGCUAUUAUUUUUUCUUUCAGCUCUCCUCUUCCAUGUGUUGCCCCAUCGCUAACUUGUGUGUCAUCAGUGAUCCAAUAAGCUCCUUAAGUGGCAGCUUGUUCAAGUCCUUCACCUCUUGGAUAGCUGUGACUUUUGCCUUCCACGUUCUAGGUAAAGUCCUAAGAAUUUUUUUUACUAAUUCACUAUUAGUAUAGACUUUUCCUAAGCUCUU
rnacentral:lncRNA from 1 species